CCCUCAGAUGUUCUGGGCCGCACGCGCGCUACACUGAUGCAUUCAACGAGUUUCUUCCUGGUCCGAGAGGAAUGGGUAACCUUUUGAAAGUGCAUCGUGAUAGGGAUAGACUAUUGCAAUUAUUGGUCUUCAACGAGGAAUUCCUAGUAGACGUAGUUCAUCAGACUGCAUCGAUUACGUCCCUGCCCUUUGUACACACCGCCUGUCGCUCCUACCGAUUGAAUGCUCAGGUGAGCCAUUCGGACUUUCAUCAUGCUGGUUUCCAGUUUUGAUGAAGGAAAGUCUUGCGAACCUUAUCAUUUAGAGGAAGGAGAAGUCGUAACA
rnacentral:rRNA from 1 species